rfam:Parabacteroides sp. YL27, complete genome.
GACUGCAUUUUUUAUCACCUCUCUGCAGUCGCGGCUG